CUUUUGUCACACUGCAAUCAGAUGUUGUUUUGUUUACAAUCACCUGCACUUUAUUUCCUGAAACGCGAAUUUAUUGGACUUUAGUCACCGAUAAUGAUGAACUUAAAACAAUUGGCCUCCCACGCCUACCGCCAGUACGAACUGGUAACGUGCAUCAACAUGCUGGAGCCCUGGGAAAAGAAGCUGAUCAACGGAUUCUUCCUGAUCAUGCUUUCCCUGGUUAUCUUCUCCAGCUUCAUGUAUCUGCCGGACUAUCUGCAAACCCUGCUGCAGUUCGUCACGCCGCCCACCUGGUACAAUAGUUCCCCGGAAGGUGCGGCCUACGCGGCGCAGAAAAUGGCACGGAGCUGAGCUUCCAGCCUAAAGCCCCUUGCCCACGCAUGCUCCCUAUCAAAAGACAACUAUAAUUUAAUGCUUCUGAUUGAUUAUUGUGAUUUACUUCGACUGGUCCAAGAUCUGCAGAUUACAAUGGCCUCCACAAUUCGCAAGGCGGAUGUGUUGAAGAACAGGCCAACCAGACCGCCAAGGGAAACUAAAUGGGAGAACUCGAGGUUAAAUUUCAUAGUUAUCUAUGCAGAUUUGGUGGGCUACUCAAAAAAUCCAGAAUAGUUUUGGUCACCCGACGUACGUAGCGCUGGGUGGGCAGCUCCACAAGAGCCACUCGGAUUUUUGAGACGUCAUCCGAGGCUUCAUCAUCCCUAGAAGCAGGCAAAACAAAAAAUGUUUAUUCAAGACACUCAUUUACUUAGAGCUAUAUGGGCAAAAGGUUUAUUCAGACUUUCUUGGCUAAUUUGAAAAAUUUUAGAUUUUAACCUGAUUUGAAAAAUUACAAAUUACAUAAAUAGGUUUUUUUAAGUGUUAAGCAAUAAAUACUAAUAAAUAUUAGCAUAACCAAAGAGUCAAUUUAAAUUAAUGAACUUUUUUAUAUAGUAUC